AGUUAUUCUUCGGCACUAAUAAGCGGAGUAAUUUUUUUUACAUCUCAUAAUAUAAGCCGUCGCAGUACUACGAACGCAUGUUUAAAAUUGAAAGAACUUGGCGGCCGUUCAACCUACCAGGGGAACAUGUGCCUUAAAACGAUGGUCCACGCUUUAUCUUACCCUGUCUUGUAAACAAAGAGGCAAGGAAUAAAGCUUGCUUCUAUUUCUCACCUAUAAGUGAGAGGGGUCAGCCGCUAUACCGCCGUUGUCACUUCCCAGUCUGAGCGGUAUUCAAAGGGGGGGAUUUUUGGUACUGUUUUAGGCUGUGUUGGGGUGGGGGCAGGAAAAUCUUUUUUGUUUUACAUUUCCCAAAGUAUAAAGUUUGUACCAUGAAGACAGGUUAAGGUAGCGCCUAUGACAGGGGGAGUAUGUGUUACAAGCUUUAUUUUAGAGAGAGUAAAAAACUUUCAAACGGAUUCUUUGAGGAAGAUUAAUCUUAGAUGAAGGUGAACUUGGCAGUAAGGAGGGAGUAAGGAGUCCACCUGAAGAGUGCUCUGAUCGUGUGUUCAAAUCGCCCGUCGCUCCCUUCCGAAAGCGGGGAU
rnacentral:rRNA from 1 species